UACAGAGGGUGCAAGCGUUGUUCGGAAUCAUUGGGCGUAAAGCGCACGUAGGCGGCCUGCUAAGUCGGAUGUGAAAGCCCUUGGCUUAACCGAGGAAGUGCAUCCGAAACUGGCGAGCUAGAGUACUAAAGAGGAUCGCGGAAUUCCCGGUGUAGAGGUGAAUUCGUAGAUAUCGGGAGGAACACCGGUGGCGAAGGCGGCGAUCUGGGUAGAUACUGACGCUGAGGUGCGAAAGCGUGGGGAGCAAACAGG
rnacentral:rRNA from 1 species